rnacentral:rRNA from 1 species
GACGAACGCUGGCGGCGUGCUUAACACAUGCAAGUCGAACGAAGUGGCGAACGGGUGAGUAAUACGUGGGUAACCUGCCCUCCUUUUUGGGCUACGCCUUCGAAACGGGGUCUAAUACCGAAUAAAGGGGGAUGGGCUCGCGGCCUAUCAGCUUGUUGGUGGGGUGAUGGCCUACCAAGGCGGUGACGGGUAGCCGGCCUGAGAGGGAGAACGGCCACCUCGGGACUGAGAUACGGACAAGAGGCCUACGGGAGGAAGCAGUGGGGGAUAUUGCACAAUGGGAGAGAGACUGAUGAAGCGACGCCGCGUGGGGGAUGAAGGCUGUCGCGUUGUAAAACUCUUUAGGUAUAGAAAGGGUAGGUGGAGAAGAAGCGCCGGCUAACUACGUGCCAGCAGCCGCGGUAAUAC